AUCGCGUAACGACGCAGGUCACAACAGUCCUGGCGGCCUGCAGGGGGCUUCCAGGAGAAGCGAAUACCGGUACGUCGGGACACUCGGCGAGGAAUCGGCAUCCCAGAGCCUAGCGCUCAUUCCCGCCCCCACGCGGAUCACAUUCCCGCGUCGUGGCGCGCGCGUGGGAGGGGAUGUAAACGAGGGAAAUUUGAACAAAAGAGCUUGAAGAAGUUCAGGAAAAAUGGCAGGAAUGUUCUACAGCUCUGGCCCUGAUUGUCUCCAGAAGCAGCUAUUUCUCCUUCAGCGAUCAUGAACUUUGAAGGUCAAGCAACCUCUGCCUGGGCUUAGAUAGGCAUUGGCAUCAGAGAACUGAUGC